rnacentral:rRNA from 1 species
AUUGAACGCUGGCGGCAGGCCUAACACAUGCAAGUCGAGCGAGCGGCGGACGGGUGAGUAAUGUAUGGGGACUGCCCGAUAGAGGGGGAUAACUACUGGAAACGGUGGCUAAUACCGCAUACUAUCGGAUAACCCAUAUGGGAUUAGCUCGUAGGUGGGGUAAAGGCUCACCUAGGCGACGAUCUCUAGCUGGUCUGAGAGGAUGAUCAGACACACGGGAACGUAGACACGGCCCAGACGCCUACGGAGGCAGCAGUGGGGAAUAUUGCGCAAUGGGCGAAAGCCUGAUGGAGCAACGCCGCGUGAGUGAAGAAGGUCUUAGGAUCGUAAAAAUCUGUCAGCGGGGAAGCGGUAUCUAACAAGAAAGCCACGGCUAACUACGUGCCAGCAGCCGCGGUAAUUC